GGCUACCGCUAUUGGAGUUCGAUUAAGCCAUGCGAGUCUAGAGGCCUAGCCUCGGCGUACCGCUCAGUAACACGUGGGUAACCUACCCUAUGCUGGGGAAUAAGCUCGGGAAACUGAGAAUAAUGCCCCAUAGUCCACUACGCCUGGAACGGUGAGUGGAUUAAAGCUCCGGCGGCAUAGGAUGGGCCUGCGGCGUAUCAGGUUGUAGGGGGUGUAAUGUACCCUCUAGCCAUCCACGCGUACGGGUGUUGGGAGACAUUGCCCGGAGAUGGAUUCUGAGACACGAAUCCAGACCCUACGGGGUGCAGCAGGCGCGAAAACUUGGCAAUGCGAGAAAUCGUGACCAGGGAACUCCAAGUGGCAGGGGUAAGACCCUGUCUUUUUCCGACUCUAAAUAGGUCGGCGAAUAAGGGGUGGGUAAGGACGGUGCCAGCCGCCGCGGUAAUACCGGCGCCUCAAGUGGUAGUCGCUUUUAUUGGGCCUAAAACGUCCGUAGCCGGUCUGGUACAUUCGUGGGUAAAUCAACUCGCUCAACGAGUUGAAUUCUGCGAGGACGGCCAGACUUGGGACCGGGAGAGGUGUGGGGUACUCUCAGGGUAGGGGUAAAAUCCUGUCAUCCUGAGAGGACCACCUGUUGCGAAGGCUCCACACUAGAACGGAUCCGACGGUUAGGGACGAAGCCUAGGGGCACGAACCGGAUUAGAUACCCGGGUAGUCCUAGGUGUAAACGCUGUGGACUUGAUGUUGGGGACGCUCCGAGCGUUCUCAGUGUCGAAGCGAAGGUGAUAAGUCCACUGCCUGGGGAGUACGGUCGCAAGGCUGAAACUUAAAGGAAUUGGCGGGGGAGCACCGCAACCUGAGGAUUGUGCGGUUU
rnacentral:rRNA from 1 species